rnacentral:rRNA from 1 species
UGGGGAAUAUUGCACAAUGGGCGCAAGCCUGAUGCAGCCAUGCCGCGUGUAUGAAGAAGGCCUUCGGGUUGUAAAGUACUUUCAGUCGGGAGGAAGGUGUCAAGGUUAAUAACCUUGGCAAUUGACGUUACCGACAGAAGAAGCACCGGCUAACUCCGUGCCAGCAGCCGCGGUAAUACGGAGGGUGCAAGCGUUAAUCGGAAUUACUGGGCGUAAAGCGCACGCAGGCGGUCUGUCAAGUCGGAUGUGAAAUCCCCGGGCUCAACCUGGGAACUGCAUAAGAAACUGGCAGGCUAGAGUCUUGUAGAGGGGGGUAGAAUUCCAGGUGUAGCGGUGAAAUGCGUAGAGAGCUGGAGGAAUACCGGUGGCGAAGGCGGCCCCCUGGACAAAGACUGACGCUCAGGUGCGAAAGCGUGGGGAGCAAACAGG